rnacentral:rRNA from 1 species
GACGAACGCUGGCGGCGUGCUUAACACAUGCAAGUCGAACGGAAAGGCGCUGCUUUUGUGGGGUGCUCGAGUGGCGAACGGGUGAGUAACACGUGAGUAACCUGCCCUUGACUCUGGGAUAACUUCAGGAAACUGGGGCGAAUACCGGAUAGGAGCUCCUGCUGCAUGGGGGGGGUUGGAAAGUUUCGGCGGUUGGGGAUGGACUCGCGGCUUAUCAGCUUGUUGGUGGGGUAGUGGCUUACCAAGGCUUUGACGGGUAGCCGGCCUGAGAGGGUGACCGGCCACAUUGGGACUGAGAUACGGCCCAGACUCCUACGGGAGGCAGCAGUGGGGAAUAUUGCACAAUGGGCGGAAGCCUGAUGCAGCAACGCCGCGUGCGGGAUGACGGCCUUCGGGUUGUAAACCGCUUUCGCCUGUGACGAAGCGUGAGUGACGGUAAUGGGUAAAGAAGCACCGGCUAACUACGUG